UACGUAGGGGGCGAGCGUUGUCCGGAUUUAUUGGGCGUAAAGAGCUCGUAGGCGGUUUGGUAAGUUGGAUGUGAAAUCUCCAGGCUCAACUUGGAGGGGUCAUUCGAUACUGCCAUGACUAGAGUUCGGUAGGGGAGUGUGGAAUUCCUGGUGGAGCGGUGAAAUGCGCAGAUAUCGUAAGGAAGACCAGUGGCGAAGGCGGGUCUCUGGACAGUUCCUGACGCUGAGGCACGAAGGUCAGGGGAGCAAACGGG
rnacentral:rRNA from 1 species